AUUGAACGCUGGCGGCAGGCCUAACACAUGCAAGUCGAGCGGGGGUAGCAAUACCCUAGCGGCGAACGGGUGAGGAAUGCUUGGGAAUCUGCCUGGUAGUGGGGGAUAACGUUCCGAAAGGAACGCUAAUACCGCAUACGUCCUACGGGAGAAAGGGGGGGAUCUUCGGACCUCUCGCUAUCAGAUGAGCCCAAGCGGGAUUAGCUAGUUGGUGGGGUAAAGGCCACCAAGGGGACGAUCCCUAGCUGGUCUGAGAGGAUGAUCAGCCACACUGGAACUGAGACACGGUCCAGACUCCUACGGGAGGCAGCAGGGGGGAAUAUUGGACAAUGGGCGAAAGCCUGAUCCAGCCAUGCCGCGUGUGUGAAGAAGGCCUUCGGGUUGUAAAGCACUUUAAGCGAGGAGGAAGGUUCGUUACUUAAUACGUAACGGAAUUGACGUUACUCGCAGAAUAAGCACCGGCUAACUCUGUGCCAGCCGCCGCGGUAA
rnacentral:rRNA from 1 species